GGGGGUGGGAAUAUACCCUGUCCUUAUGGAAUAAUAAUCCUUCUCUUCCAGGUUGGUGAGAAUGUGUUUUCUCUACCCCGGAGCCCCCCGCACGCAAAAAACUCCCUUGACCCCCAGAUCUUGCAGUAGCGAUGGCUCAGGGACAGUGUCCAGGAGUGCCAGGGCGGAAGGGCCACCUCAGCAGAAUCAAUUCCCAGACUGUUUCAGGGGAGCACCACAAGGGGAAGGAAGAGGAACGAAAGAUGCUGGACUUGGGUCAUUCCCAAGGCUUGGAGCCUGCAAGGUCCACUGACUCACUGGGGAAAAGGCUGCAGCACAGACGUGCAGCUCCCGCACACAGUGGUAAAUCUCAGGUCACCUCCCUCCAGUUUGUGCUAUGGGGAGUAAGGUUGAAAAUGUUUCCAAAAGCAUUUACUUUUUCCUCUGGAGGGAGAGAAGAGUAAAACUGAAUAAUUCCUUUUCAAAGUUUGAGAAGUGUUUUGUUUCAAGAAGAAAUAAGUAGAUUUAUUUUUGCAGUAAUGAGUUUGCAGGAAACUUCAGGAAUCUUUUGUAAGGGCUUGUAGCGUCUUGGAAGCUGGAGUCUUUCUUUAUAUACAUACAGCACUUGCAUAACAACCUCUUAACUGUGAAUGAGAUUCCUAGGUGCAGUUGCAAUAAACUGAUUAAUAGUAUCAUUCAUGGUAUCAUACCUCAUUCAUAUGUUCAGUGUAAGUAAAGAGGAAUUACAUUGGCAGGAGUAUAGCGGUUGUGACUUCAAACACGAUACUCUUGGGGGAAAAGUUACAGCUAAAGCAUGCACCACUGGGCACUGCAAUUGGUAAAGCUGCAAAAAAUGCUCAAGAAAAUAAUUUUUGGAGUAAAAAGCAGCAAAAACAAGCUCACAGAGAGCUAGUGCUGGGCAGGUCUGUAGCACGGAAGAAGCAAUGUGGGCAACGUUACCCAGUUAGUCAAACCAAGGAUGGAAAAUAAGGAGGCCUAUCUGUCAGAGGGAUUGGUCAGGGAUGACCCCUAUUUAUGCAUAAACAAGCACCCACAAGCAGGGUCGUUAGGUUUUUUAAUCUGGAGACAGCAAGAACUGAUUUUGUCACCAAACACUUGUGAGACAAAUCACUGACAAGGACACACAGAAAGCAAAAGGGAAUGGAAAAUGGUUAAAUGAGAAGGAAUGUCUUUGCCAUGGGGUACAGCUGCUUGGAAUGCAUUGGGAUCCUCAAGAGAAGACACAAGUAAUGGGUUACAGAGCUUUGGUGCAACCAAAGGGACCCAUUUCCAGUUGUCUUAACCAAAAUUGCAAUAACUGCAACGGGUGAGACAUGUGCUUGUGGCCCCGAGACGACAAACUGGUUCACAGGCUGCAGUUUCCAUAUCAGUUCCUAAAGCUGCUUCUAGGAAAUCACCCAGCCUAAAGAACCUCCUGGGAUCCCAGCUUCUACAUUCCCAUUUCAAAAUGCAUGGCUCUAGACUAAAGAGCAAGGCAUCCGAUGUUGACAGAUUAAAGGGGAAUAUACCAAGCAAAGGGAUCUGCUACCAAGAUGCCCAUAAACCGGCAGUUCUGCCAUCCUCCAGAAUGUGAAUUCUUCCUUUGGUUCUUAGUUGUAUUUUGAUCAAAGUGUAAAUACCAGCAACUGGCACAUGUCAGACAGUGUCAGAGCCGCGUACCAAAGCUUUCUUCAGGUUCAAUCUUUAGCGCUGCUUUACUCAUUUUGUUAGGGCUUUUGGGACAUAGCUCAUUAUUUUUACCACUGUAACCAGCAGAGUGGCCGUAUCAUCAUUUCCCCUUAAAUCCAGGAGAAUAAGUCUGGCCUAUUGGGCAGGGAAACUUAAUUGUGAGAAGCCUCUGGAGGGCGGUUGGCACUGGAUGGUAGCUGUACUAUUAGCAUGUUGCUGCCCCUGUAAAGAAGAAUCCAAGCUCUAAUGCAUACCUGCAAGUCCCGCCAGCUCGACGGGUAUCAAAGCACGCCCACACUUGAGCUGGAGACUCCUCUGCUCAGACAAGGAGGAUUACGGACAUCAUAUGACUAAUUCUGCAAUGACGGUGUAUGCUUAAUUGGUAAAGGACUGCAUUUUCUAUCUUUUUUUAACCCAGGACAUAGCGUCAAAGGUCUGCCUGAUGUUCGAGGUUCAUUUCAGGUAUUUUCUUCAUUGAGAUUCACUGUACCUAAGGUUACUGUGACCUCUGGCUUUGUCUUGUGCUCUUCA